AAAGGUGGAGCUCAGUGGCAGAGCGCGUGCUUAGCAUGUGCGAGGUCCUGGGUUCCAUCCCCAGCACCUCCA
rnacentral:tRNA from 1 species